rnacentral:rRNA from 1 species
AACUUUUAACAACGGAUCUCUUGGUUCUCGCAUCGAUGAAGAACGUAGCAAAGUGCGAUAACUAGUGUGAAUUGCAUAUUUAGUGAAUCAUCGAGUCUUUGAACGCAACUUGCAGCCAGUGGUAUUCCACUGGCUAUGCCUGUUUCAGUA